rfam:Picea glauca, whole genome shotgun sequence.
GGUGCCGUGGUGUAGUUGGUUAUCACGUCAGUCUAACACACUAAAAGUCUCCAGUUCAAGUCUGGGCGGCGCCA